CCUACGGGCGGCAGCAGUGGGGAAUAUUGGACAAUGGGCGAAAGCCUGAUCCAGCCAUGCCGCGUGUGUGAAGAAGGCCUUCGGGUUGUAAAGCACUUUCAGUGGGGAAGAAAGCCUUGGGGCUAAUACCCUCGAGGAAGGACAUCACCCACAGAAGAAGCACCGGCUAACUCCGUGCCAGCAGCCGCGGUAAUACGGAGGGUGCGAGCGUUAAUCGGAAUUACUGGGCGUAAAGCGCGCGUAGGCGGUCUGAUAAGCCGGUUGUGAAAGCCCCGGGCUUAACCUGGGAACGGCAUCCGGAACUGUCAGGCUAGAGUGCAGGAGAGGAAGGUAGAAUUCCCGGUGUAGCGGUGAAAUGCGUAGAGAUCGGGAGGAAUACCAGUGGCGAAGGCGGUCUUCUGGACUGACACUGACGCUGAGGUGCGAAAGCGUGGGUAGCAAACAGGAUUAGAUACCCUGGUAGUC
rnacentral:rRNA from 1 species